AUCCUUACCUGGCAGGGGAAACCCAGGAUCAUGAAGCUAGUUUUCUCAGGGCAGAGCUCAGCCGCUGCACCUCGGCUGUGCUGACCCUUGCGAUUUCCCCACAUGGGGGAAACUCGACUGGUCAUUUGUGGUAGUGGGCACAGCAUUUGCACUCUCCCCUA
ensembl:snRNA U1 U1 spliceosomal RNA